rnacentral:rRNA from 1 species
GUGCACGCUGGCGGUAGGCCUCACACCUGCAAGUCGCACGGCAGCACAGUAAGAGCUUGCUCUUACGGGUGGCGAGUGGCGGACGGGUGAGGAAUACAUCGGAAUCUACUUUUUCGUGGGGGAUAACGUAGGGAAACUUACGCUAAUACCGCAUACGACCUACGGGUGAAAGCAGGGGAUCUUCGGACCUUGCGCGAUUGGAUGAGCCGAUGUCGGAUUAGCUAGUUGGCGGGGUAAAGGCCCACCAAGGCGACGAUCCGUAGCUGGUCUGAGAGGAUGAUCAGCCACACUGGAACUGAGACACGGUCCAGACUCCUACGGGAGGCAGCAGUGGGGAAUAUUGGACAAUGGGCGCAAGCCUGAUCCAGCCAUACCGCGUGGGUGAAGAAGGCCUUCGGGUUGUAAAGCCCUUUUGUUGGGAAAGAAAAGCAGCAGGUUAAUACCCCGCUGUUCUGACGGUACCCAAAGAAUAAGCACCGGCUAACUUCGUG